rnacentral:rRNA from 1 species
AUACGGAGGGUGCGAGCGUUAAUCGGAAUUACUGGGCGUAAAGGGUCCGUAGGCGGUCUGCUUAGUCUGAUGUGAAAGCCCCGGGCUUAACCUGGGAAUGGCAUUGGAUACUGGCGGACUAGAGUCUGGUAGAGGGUGGUGGAAUUCCCGGUGUAGCGGUGAAAUGCGUAGAUAUCAGGAGGAACACCAGUGGCGAAGGCGGCCACCUGGACCAAGACUGACGCUUAGGGACGAAAGCGUGGGGAGCAAACAGGAUUAGAAACCCUUGUAGUCC